GAGAGAGAGAGAGAGAGAGAGAGAGAGAGAGAGAGAAGCAGUAUGACACCUGUGCCUCUUCCCUCUGGCUAACUUCAUCUAUUGCCUACUUCCCUUAGCAUAUAUUUAAACUCAUGUUCUAAAGCAGCACUAUGCAUUCUCCUGGUUUAUCCUUCAUCGCUAAUAUUUAAUAUAUUCAGAAUGAUUUCUCCAUUCCUAUCACUUAUGAGUCCUGUAUGAAAAUUUUAAUUUAAACACAGGUUUAUUGACCCUUACUGUUAUUCAAGGUCAGUUCAAGUGCUAUUUUUAUUUCUAGAAGAAUUAAUUAAUGCAUUCUAUUAGUUUGGACUUAUGUGGAGACUGAGGAAUCUUGGACAUGUGUGCCCCAAUCCGCAGUUUUGACUGAGAGUGUUGUGGCCAGACAACAUUUGGGAACCUUCUCUGUCUUCUCCCCUUGAAGGGUGACCCUGGUUAAACAGCUCUUUAAACAGACGUCUUUUUGUCAGAACCGCAGGUCAUAUAGUCCCCUCCAAACAAUUAUUACUUAUGAACUAGAUAAAAGCCCCGUGUUGUCUGAUACAUAAACUUAGAAAUGGGCAGAUGGGGUCAGGGACAGAGUUGGUCUAGAUUUCGCCCUGGUUUAUUUAAAACAUCAGAGACAGGGAGAGAGCAACUGGACACCUGUUUUAGAAACAUUUUGGUGGAGAGACAAAGGUAGGACAGCGAUUUGGACUGAGUCUCUUCGUCACAGCUGACACAGAAAUUCGCUGUACAGGUGCCUGAGGGGUCUGGAAUGGAAAAAGAGGUCUAACCAUGACCAGAAAGAGUUUCCUAACAGAGACAGAGCCUAAGAAAGAACCUGGCUGAAUUAAUGAGAAUGAAAACAGUGGGAGACAAUCAGUGCUAGCCAACCAGGACUGAGAAAUCAGCAGUGAUUAAGAAGAGACCAGCAUCACUGAUGUGAAAUCUUCUGGGAGUACUUCCUCAGGGUCAGCACACAGAAGCUGUGGUCCAGAGUGGGCCAAGAGUACAUCUCAUGCUGGCAGUAGAACUUGGUAAUAUGUAAGAGUCUCCCAGGUGGUGCUAGUUUUAAAGGCAGGAAGGAAUCAGAAAAAUAGUUGAGGCUUGGCACUGUGUGGUAGGGCUGAAGUUCCCAAAGAAAGGCCAGAAGAGACCCCCUAGUGAAGGCGUGGCCUGAUUGCUAUGGAGAGCCAAGCAUUUUGGAGAUGCCAAUACCAUGAGAGGACCACCAAGGACAGAAGCAGCUGUAGAGCCGACCCAGCCUGAGCCUGUGAGUCCAGCUGUGUACGUCAGAUGGCAAAGCUGGAGAAACAGAGCUGUUCCAAGGCUCUCUGGCACCCAGAAGACUGAGUUUGCGGAGAAUCCUGAAGCUCAGAAGGGGUCGAAGCAUGCCGAAAACCCCGGAUUUUCUCAUCCUGAGAAUGACAGGAAUUUGGCUGCUCUUUUGCCUUGCUCAGGUACCAACAGACCCCAGCAGACUGACUUUCCCAGGGUGCACAUGUGCCUGGUGCAUGUAGCUACUGAUGAGCUCAGGUAUCUCCAAGGCUAUGGUGACUGGUUGCUGUUUAUCUGACCAAUGAAACAUUCCAGGCUGGACUUCCUUUCUUUUCUAUAUGAUCUUAUAAGGUUCCUUCCCCUGGUCCCUGCUGCUUCCAAGUGUGCAAAUGAAGCACCCUCCAUGCUGUUGCCCCAACCUUAUGACAUACCACCACAUGGAUCCAACAGGCCAUUCUUCCUGGGGUAUAACUGUCUCCUGCUCCCUCUUAAUAAAUGAGGUGUCCUCUGA